rnacentral:rRNA from 1 species
ACUCAAUAGAUACCCGGGUAGUCCACGCCCUAAACGAUGUCGACUGGUUGUUGGUGGGGUUAAACCCAUUAGUAAACGAAAGCUAAACGCGUGAAAGUCGACCGCCUGGGGAGUACGGCCGCAAGGUUAAAACUCAAAGGAAUUGACGGGGACCCGCACAAGCGGUGGAUGAUGUGGGUUAACUCGAUGCAAACGCGAGGAACCUUACCUACCCUUGACAUGCCAGGAACCCUGCUGAGAGGUGGGGUGCCGAAACGGGAACCUGGACACAGGUGCUGCAUGGCUGUCGUCAGCUCGUGUCGUGAGAUGUUGGGUUAAGUCCCGCAACGAGCGCAACCCUUGUCACUAGUUGCUACGGUAACGGGCACUCUAGUGAGACUGCCGGUGACAAACCGGAGGAAGGUGGGGAUGACGUCAAGUCCUCAUGGCCCUUAUGGGUAGGGCUUCACACGUCAUACAAUGGCGCAUACAGAGGGCUGCCAACCCGCGAGGGGGUAGCCAAUCCCAGAAAGUGCGUCGUAGUCCGGAUUGCAGUCUGCAACUCGACUGCAU